rnacentral:piRNA from 1 species
UAAUUCAGGGAAAUGGAGCCCAAGUACUCGU